rfam:Gossypium hirsutum cultivar TM-1 chromosome 2, whole genome shotgun sequence
AACCCGUGGUGAGGGUACCUUCUCGAAAGAUCCUUGUAUCUCUCCCAUGCAUCAUAGAGUGUUUCUAGAUGCAUCUGCAUAAAAGAAGAGAUGUCAUUCCUCAUCUU